rnacentral:piRNA from 1 species
CAAGACUUGUAUUGGGUGGUUCACAGC